CUUAGGGUGGAGUUAGUGGAACCGAAAAAGAUGUCUCCCUCACAGCGUUUGUGACAAAAGAAUUGCAUCGUUCCUUGGCGGCCUUUCAACAGAAGAAUAUUCAGAGAUUUCACGAGUGUUGAUUUCCCAAAGUGGAGCAUCUCACAUUUAAUGGAUUAAAAUCCACUUGCCGUUUCUGCAACUGAUCUGGAGGCAACACACAGCCCUGGUAUCUCAAAUGUGGCUACAGAAACUAUGCCCCCAACGAAUGAGUCUCCAACCACGAUCACUCACUUGGAUUUACCUGACCCUGUCCCACAGCAGGGCGGUUUGUACAACGGACCUGGCUACUGCUGAUUAUAUAACCGUUCCAGUUUGGUUUUAGAUCAGUGUUAACCUUGAUGAAGUGGAUAGCCAAGCACCUCAGUGGUCUACAGUACAGGAGAAAUAAAUUCUGAAGCUCACGGAUUCUGUGACAGUCAAAGACAAGCACUGAAUUGUUCUAACCUCAUUUCCAACACCUGGCCCAUAGCCUUGCAUGGCUUGGAUAACACUUGCACAUUUUAAAAAAAUGUAAGGAUGAUGGUAAGGACAUGGAAUUUUGUGAUAUGGUCAUAUUCUCUCUUGU